rnacentral:lncRNA from 1 species
UCAUUUUAAAUGCAGGACUAUCACAUAAAUAAAAGGAUUGAUUGAUGAGUUUAAGCAUUGAAAGUUAAAGGACAAAGAGAUGACCAAACUUAGAAAAGAGAUGUCGGUGCAGUCCAAACCGGAACAUUGCUCGGUAAUUGGAUCAUAUCUGGAGCUCUAGAUUUCGGAUUAAGGUCCACUUUAUAUGGAUGGAAAGGUAAGACAAAAGCCUACAACUUUCAUGAGGAGCCCAAGAUUUGAAAAGGUCGUUUUGAAGUCCAAAUUGAAGGAACAACGAAGAAGUCCGAAGCUGUCCUGCAGCCCAAAUACUAUUUAGUGUUCAG